CAGCCGUAAACUAUGCGCGUUAGGUGUAUCGGUGACCACGAGUUACCGAGGUGCCGAAGGGAAACCGUGAAACGUGCCGCCUGGGAAGUACGGUCGCAAGGCUGAAACUUAAAGGAAUUGGCGGGGGAGCACCACAACAGGUGGAGCCUGCGGUUUAAUUGGACUCGACGCCGGGAAGCUCACCGGAUAGGACAGCAGAAAUGAUUGCCGGGCUGAAGACCCUGCAUGACUAGCUGAGAGGUGGUGCAUGGC
rnacentral:rRNA from 1 species